rnacentral:misc_RNA from 1 species
CUGUUUAAUUUAAAAAACACCUAGGGGGGUUUAGAGAGGGUAAACUUCCUAACUCUUCUAGUGUUGCAAACCUUACAACACCUUUUAAAACAUUGCUUUUUUUAGUGACAGAGUAUAAACAAUUAUAACAUAAAAA